rnacentral:sRNA from 1 species
CAUGAAUUGGCCUUCGGUUCCCUGCUACCCGACCCUUUUCUCCUGCCUCUUACUGCUCUAGUGAUACCACUUAUGCUAUUGUCUAUGGCAGGUUUAUUUGUAUCUAUCCUGCUUAUUUAAAUAAUAAGAAGACCAUCGCAGAGGGAAGGCGAAUCCCCAUAAGUAAGGCUGUUGAAAAUCCUACAGCUACAGAGAUUCAAGAUGUAUGUUCAGCAGUUGGACUUAACGUAUUUCUUGAGAAAAAUAAAAUGUACUCUAGAGAAUGGAAUCGUGAUGUCCAAUACAGAGGCAGAGUCCGGGUCCAGCUCAAACAGGAAGAUGGGAGCCUCUGCCUUGUACAGUUCCCAUCACGUUAAGAAUGUCUGAGGGGCCAGGCGGUGCUGGCAAGAUGGCUGCACUUGAGAAGAUGACGUUUCCCAAGAAGAUGACAUUUCCAGAGAAACCAAGCCACAAAAAGUACAGGGCCGCCCUGAA